ACUGCCGAAUUUAUUUUUUCAUUCACUAAGUAACGAGCGUACACUGCCAUCUAUACUUUUUGUAGCAAACUAUGUAGUUAGGCUACGUUAUUGUAUCAAGAGAAUAAGUAAAUAAUGCCGCAAUAUUUCGCUAGAUGUCACUUUAAUCAACUGUGUCUCCAUCCCCUCUUUUGGAUAGUAAGGUAUCGUAGGACUGUCUACCGGAAUUUUUUUUUGGAUACUAUGCUAUCGUAGGACUGUCAAGUGGCUAACGAGGAAACUACAACGCAAAAAAUGCGUUUAUCACUGCUUCCAGUA